rnacentral:rRNA from 1 species
UGGGGAAUUUUGGACAAUGGGCGAAAGCCUGAUCCAGCAAUGCCGCGUGUGUGAAGAAGGCCUUCGGGUUGUAAAGCACUUUUGUCCGGAAAGAAAUCCUUGGCUCUAAUACAGUCGGGGGAUGACGGUACCGGAAGAAUAAGCACCGGCUAACUACGUGCCAGCAGCCGCGGUAAUACGUAGGGUGCAAGCGUUAAUCGGAAUUACUGGGCGUAAAGCGUGCGCAGGCGGUUUGCUAAGACCGAUGUGAAAUCCCCGGGCUCAACCUGGGAACUGCAUUGGUGACUGGCAGGCUAGAGUAUGGCAGAGGGGGGUAGAAUUCCACGUGUAGCAGUGAAAUGCGUAGAGAUGUGGAGGAAUACCGAUGGCGGAGGCAGCCCCCUGGGCCAAUACUGACGCUCAUGCACGAAAGCGUGGGGAGCAAACAGGAUUAGAUACCCUGGUAGUCCACGCCCUAAAACGAUGUCAACUAGUUGUUGGGGAUUCAUUUCCUUAGUAACGUAGCUAACGCGUGAAGUUGACCGCCUGGGGAGUACGGUCGCAAGAUUAAAACUUAAAUGAAUUGACGGGGUCAUAGCUG